GAUGAACGCUGGCGGCGUGCCUAAUACAUGCAAGUCGAGCGAACAGACGAGGAGCUUGCUCCUCUGACGUUAGCGGCGGACGGGUGAGUAACACGUGGAUAACCUACCUAUAAGACUGGGAUAAAUUCGGGAAACCGGAGCUAAUACCGGAUAACAUGUUGAACCGCAUGGUUCCACAGUGAAAGACGGUUUUGCUGUCACUUAUAGAUGGAUCCGCGCCGCAUUAGCUAGUUGGUAAGGUAACGGCUUACCAAGGCAACGAUGCGUAGCCGACCUGAGAGGGUGAUCGGCCACACUGGAACUGAGACACGGUCCAGACUCCUACGGGAGGCAGCAGUAGGGAAUCUUCCGCAAUGGGCGAAAGCCUGACGGAGCAACGCCGCGUGAGUGAAGAAGGUCUUCGGAUCGUAAAACUCUGUUAUUAGGGAAGAACAAAUGUGUAAGUAACUAUGCACGUCUUGACGGUACCUAAUCAGAAAGCCACGGCUAACUACGUG
rnacentral:rRNA from 1 species